rnacentral:rRNA from 1 species
AUGGUUUUCUCCUCCUUCCCGAUCUUCCUCGACCCUCCAAGUUGGGCCCAGAUGCAGCAGCAGCCUCUUCAGUGUUUCAUGGGAGGAGGUGGCGGCAGCGAGCACCAGCACCACCAGCUGAUCCCUGCGUCGUCCGGCCAGCUGGCGCCGCUGCCGGACGUGCCCGGCAACACUGCGGCAAGCGCGCCGCCGGUGGCCGGAUCGUCCUCGGCCUCGCUGCAGCUGGUUGUGUCGGGACAGCAGGGUAACCCGGGUGAGCAGCCGCCGCGGCCGUCAGUGUCGAUGACCGAGCGCGCCCGGAUGGCCCGCGUGCCGCUGCCGGAGCCCGGCACGCUCCGGUGCCCGCGCUGCGACUCGGCCAACACCAAGUUCUGCUACUUCAACAACUACUCGCUCUCGCAGCCGCGCCACUUCUGCAAGGCCUGCCGCCGCUACUGGACGCGGGGCGGCGCCCUCCGCAACGUCCCCGUCGGCGGCGGCUGCCGCCGCAACACCAAGCGCUCCAGCAAGAAGUCGUCGCGCCAGGGCCAGGGCCAGGGCGGCGGCGGUGCCGUCGCGGCCGCCACGUCGUCCUCCUCCACCACCUCCACCUCGACCACCACAAGCGCCGCCGCGGCGACCGCGGCCGACGUCAUCGCCAGCAUGCAGGCGCUGCCGCACCACCUAGGCGGCCUCCCCGCGGCAGCCGCACUGGAGGCGUCGCUCGAGGGGUACCACAGCCACAGCCACCACCAACACCAUAACCUGCCGUUCCUGCCGCCGCAGUUCCUGCAGCAAGGGCUGCACGGGUACCACAUCGCCGACGGCGACAUCGGCUCACAGCUGGCCGACGGGUUUCCGAGAGGCGUGGCGUCGGGGCUGCUCGCGCAGCUGGCGUCGAUCAAGAUGGAGGAGCACGGCGCGGGCGCUGGCGGCGCUGGAGGCGGCUUUGUCGGAGCGCACGAGCAGUACUGGCCCGGGAGCGGUGGCGGGGGCGGGUGGCCGACGGAGUUCUUGUCCGGGUUCAGCUCCUCCUCGUCGGGGAAUGUGAUGUGA